GAUUUCUGACUUGGCGCACCUGGCCCGCCACGGUUACGUGUGUGAGUGCCGGGAUGCGCCUGUCACUUUUCUAGUAGACUAUUGUACUAUUCAUUUAGUGCGAUAGGUAGCUAGAUAAUUUACUUUGAAAAAAUUAGAGUGUUUAAAGCAGGCGUUUGCUAUGAAUACAUUAGCAUGGAAUAAUAACUUAGGACUUCGGUUCUAUUUUGUUGGUGUUCUAGAACUGAAGUAAUGAUUGAUAGGGAUAGUUGGGGGUGCUAGUAUUCAAUGGCCAGAGGUGAAAUUCUCGGAUUCAUUGAAGACUAACUUAUGCGAAAGCAUU
rnacentral:rRNA from 1 species